UACGGAGGGUGCAAGCGUUACUCGGAAUCACUGGGCGUAAAGAGCGUGUAGGCGGAUUUGUAAGUUGGGAGUGAAAGCCUAUGGCUCAACCAUAGAACUGCUUCCAAAACUGCAUGUCUAGAGUGUGGGAGAGGUAGAUGGAAUUUCUGGUGUAGGGGUAAAAUCCGUGGAGAUCAGAAGGAAUACCGAUUGCGAAGGCGAUCUACUGGAACAUAACUGACGCUGAGACGCGAAAGCGUGGGGAGCAAACAGG
rnacentral:rRNA from 1 species